CGCCCAGGCCCUGGGACCCCGCCUGGUCAGGCUUCCUGCGGGAAGGAGACCUUCCUAUGUUACCGGGAGGGCACCGCCCGCCCCGGGCUCGAGAGAGUCGUCCUGGGACCCGUGUUGAGCUAAAAUCCCUGUUGGCCUGAACUCGGGAAGGGAAGUCAGCUGCACGCGGAGCCUCUGGAACCGGGCGACAGAUGAAGCCAGGGCUCCUCUAAAAUGAGUGACCACCACCCUCCCAGUGAUAUCUUCGUCUAACAGUCCAUGGAAAAGUAGGAUUGAUGGUGGACUCCGACCGGGUUGGAUGCACUCAAUGCAUACAGCCUGCUGAUGAGUGAGUGAAGGACGGCACAAGCCUGGAAGGUUGAAGAGCAGAGAGAACAAAGCACAGCAGUACACACAGCGCCUAUGUAGCCCAAAGCUUGCAGAGUGGGAAACCUUUUAUGUUUUCCUUUUUGUGAUUUCUCUCUUGGUUUUUUGGUUGGUUUGGUUUGUUUCCUUGGAGACAAUACCAUGUUUUAAAAGGCCUAGCCGGGCGUGGUAGUGCACGCCUGUAAUCCCAGCACUCGGGAGGCUGAGGCAGGAGGAUCACUGUGAGUUCCAGGCCAGCCUGGGCUGCAUAGUGAGUUCCAGUUCAGCCUGGACUACAUAGGGAGACCCUGUCUCAAAAAACCAAAAGCUAAAUAAAUAGCAAACUAAAAAUCCUAGUAGUCUUAAAACCCUGUUCAUCCUGUAGGGUUAAUGUGGUCUCUCAACUUUGUUUCCUGUGUAACUACAGAUAACUUCUGUUGUAGCCUCACAGGUCUACCUGUUGUACUAUAACAGUACUAUACAUCAAUAGUGUUAUUAUGACUUUAAUUAUAUAAAAGCCAAGUGUUUAGUCAG
rnacentral:lncRNA from 1 species